GAUGAACGCUGGCGGCGUGCCUAAUACAUGCAAGUCGAGCGAACAGACGAGGAGCUUGCUCCUCUGACGUUAGCGGCGGACGGGUGAGUAACACGUGGAUAACCUACCUAUAAGACUGGGAUAACUUCGGGAAACCGGAGCUAAUACCGGAUAAUAUAUUAACCGCAUUGUUCAAUAGUGAAAGACGGUUUUGCUGUCACUUAUUGAUGGAUCCGCGCCGCAUUAGCUAGUUGGUAAGGUAACGGCUUACCAAGGCGACGAUGCGUAGCCGACCUGAGAGGGUGAUCGGCCACACUGGAACUGAGACACGGUCCAGACUCCUACGGGAGGCAGCAGUAGGGAAUCUUCCGCAAUGGGCGAAAGCCUGACGGAGCAACGCCGCGUGAGUGAUGAAGGUCUUCGGAUCGUAAAACUCUGUUAUUAGGGAAGAACAAAUGUGUAAGUAACUAUGCACGUCUUGACGGUACCUAAUCAGAAAGCCACGGCUAACUACGUG
rnacentral:rRNA from 1 species